AGUAUUGUUACUGUCAUGGUAUCCUCCUUCAGACCACCACUUGAUUACCUCUUGGAGCUGUUGCCAUGGCUACAGGUCUGAUAUUACUCAAUAUCCUCAUCUCCUAAGUUGUAUCCACAUUCAGUGCAUGUCACUGCUGUACUUGUUGAAUAUUGUACAUCAACUGGUCGGAGUAAGCAGGGUGUGGCUACUAGCUUGUUCGCACGAUUGAAAGAUGUGAGUCCAGAGAACAGAAAGGUUCCUGUAUACAUACGUCACUCGUCUCUGAGGCUGCCAUUCCAUCCGGUCAAUCCUGUCAUUAUGGUAGGACCUGGGACUGGACUGGCUCCUUUUUGUGGAUUCAUACAAGACAGAUCAACUGCAAUUAAAGAAA